rnacentral:rRNA from 1 species
AUUGAACGCUGGCGGAAUGCUUUACACAUGCAAGUCGAACGGCAGCACGGACUUCGGUCUGGUGGCGAGUGGCGAACGGGUGAGUAAUAUAUCGGAACGUGCCCAGUCGUGGGGGAUAACGUAGUGAAAAUUACGCUAAUACCGCAUACGAUCUAUGGAUGAAAGCGGGGGAUCGCAAGACCUCGCGCGAUUUGAGCGGCCGAUAUCAGAUUAGGUAGUUGGUGAGGUAAAGGCUCACCAAGCCGACGAUCUGUAGCUGGUCUGAGAGGACGACCAGCCACACUGGAACUGAGACACGGUCCAGACUCCUACGGGAGGCAGCAGUGGGGAAUUUUGGACAAUGGACGCAAGUCUGAUCCAGCCAUUCCGCGUGCAGGACGAAGGCCUUCGGGUUGUAAACUGCUUUUGUACAGAACGAAAAGGUCUCUAUUAAUACUAGGGGCUCAUGACGGUACUGUAAGAAUAAGCACCGGCUAACUACGUGCCAGCCGCCGCCGUAAAAC